GGGGGCGUUUGGUUUUGACAGCAUAGCUCUUUGAAAGUAUAAGCAUGUACUGCGUUGCGUAAUUAGCAGUUUAAUCUGAAUACGAGACUAUAAAUGGCAAUACUCAGUAUGCCAUGGCUGCUUAAUCAGUGAUUAGGUAGUCAUUAGGGCCGCCGGGCCGGUUUAUCUGUUACCACGCCCCGCCGCCGACUCAACAAACAAUACAGGUUGCAAAAAGCUGGUCUCUUGCAAAAGAGAUGGUCGUGCUGCUUUUCUAAGAUAAUUACGACUACGGGGUAGUUUGGUUCGUCCAGUUCCUGUCUAUCCCCGACAAUUAAUGCUGGAAUAAACAUGUAGAAGGCUUUCGACGAAUAUGUUUGGACACCGGUUCGAAUCCGGUCGCCUCCAC
rnacentral:tmRNA from 1 species